AGUGAACGCUGGCGGUAGGCCUAACACAUGCAAGUCGAACGGCAGCACAGUAAGAGCUUGCUCUUACGGGUGGCGAGUGGCGGACGGGUGAGGAAUACAUCGGAAUCUACUUUUUCGUGGGGGAUAACGUAGGGAAACUUACGCUAAUACCGCAUACGACCUACGGGUGAAAGCAGGGGAUCUUCGGACCUUGCGCGAUUCAAUGAGCCGAUGUCGGAUUAGCUAGUUGGCGGGGUAAAGGCCCACCAAGGCGACGAUCCGUAGCUGGUCUGAGAGGAUGAUCAGCCACACUGGAACUGAGACACGGUCCAGACUCCUACGGGAGGCAGCAGUGGGGAAUAUUGGACAAUGGGCGCAAGCCUGAUCCAGCCAUACCGCGUGAGUGAAGAAGGCCUUCGGGUUGUAAAGCCCUUUUGUUGGGAAAGAAAAGCAGCAGGUUAAUACCCCGCUGUUCCGACGGUACCCGAAGAAUAAGCACCGGCUAACUUCGUG
rnacentral:rRNA from 1 species